rnacentral:rRNA from 1 species
UACGUAGGGGGCAAGCGUUGUCCGGAUUUAUUGGGCGUAAAGGGCGCGUAGGCGGCCACGCGUGUCUUUCGUGAAAUCCCUCGGCUUAACUGAGGACGUGCGGAAGAAACUGCGAGGCUUGAGUCCGGGAGAGGGGGGUGGAAUUCCCAGUGUAGCGGUGAAAUGCGUAGAUAUCAGGAGGAACACCGAUGGCGAAGGCAGGUCUCUGGGCCAUAACUGACGCUGAGAAGCGAAAGCAUGGGGAGCGAACAGG